rnacentral:rRNA from 1 species
UAGCCGUAAACGAUACUCGCUAGGUGUCGGCCACGGUGCGACCGUUGUCGGUGCCGUAGGGAAGCCGUGACGCGAGCCACCUGGGAAGUACGGCCGCAAGGCUGAAACUUAAAGGAAUUGGCGGGGGGAGCACCACAACGGGUGGAGCUUGCGGUUUAAUUGGAUUCAACGCCGGAAAUCUUACCGGGACCGACAGCAACAUGAAGGCCAGGCUGAAGACUUUGCCGGAUUAGCUGAGAGGAGGUGCAUGGCGUAGUCGUGU